GGGUCAUGCUAGCUAAUUACGUCAUAGAACCGGCACACUUUACCGAAUAGAAGGAAAACGAUUGCAGUAUAUGUCGCAAGUGCUAAUCAGAACAAUGGCAAGCUGAUAACCGAAUGAAAAAAAAGAUUGAAAGUAAUUGCUGGCAUAUUGCCCAAAUCAAAGAUGGCGUACGAAAUAGUGACCUUAAGUCACGUGAUGUAAACAAUGCUGCGGGCUCACUGUGUUGAGAGUCCAGUGCUAGAUGCAUGGGAAGAUGGCUGGUUACAUGGGGAUGUAUGAAGAACCGUCUGAUAUAACGCAGCAACAGGAGAGACAUUAUUACCUCCUGUCUGAACUGCAGAGCCUGGUGAAAGACCUGCCCAGGUAAUGGCAG